GACGAACGCUGGCGGCGUGCUUAACGCAUGCAAGUCGAACGGAAAGGCCCUGCUUUUGUGGGGUGCUCGAGUGGCGAACGGGUGAGUAACACGUGAGUAACCUGCCCUUGACUUUGGGAUAACUUCAGGAAACUGGGGCUAAUACCGGAUAGGAGCUCCUGCUGCAUGGUGGGGGUUGGAAAGUUUCGGCGGUUGGGGAUGGACUCGCGGCUUAUCAGCUUGUUGGUGGGGUAGUGGCUUACCAAGGCUUUGACGGGUAGCCGGCCUGAGAGGGUGUCCGGCCACAUUGGGACUGAGAUACGGCCCAGACUCCUACGGGAGGCAGCAGUGGGGAAUAUUGCACAAUGGGCGGAAGCCUGAUGCAGCAACGCCGCGUGCGGGAUGACGGCCUUCGGGUUGUAAACCGCUUUCGCCUGUGACGAAGCGUGAGUGACGGUAAUGGGUAAAGAAGCACCGGCUAACUACGUG
rnacentral:rRNA from 1 species